GUCAGUCACGUCCCCUCGGGUUUUGUUGUGGCAGCGGGAAGGCGUGCCUGUGCAUGCGUUCGUGUGCUCCUGCGAGGCGGAGGGGUUGCUUGGGGCUGGGGGUGCUAAGCCCUCAUUAACUCCACUCACGCUGUCUUACUCUGUUUGCCACUGCCUAAGCACUGCUUUUUAGAAAAGCAACCAAUUAGCACCUCAUCAGCUCCAAUUAGAGGAGACAAAAGCAGUGUAAAGAUAACUCAAUGAGAGGGGGUGGCACAACAUCAUGUAAUCUCUUAAGACAGCAGUGAGCAUUCACUGGGCGAGCUGUGCUGGGCCUAUUCACCUUUUUUUUUUUUCUCUCCUCUGGAUGCAUUUAAGACUUUUUUUUCUGGGAAGCUGGGCCUCCCAGGAGUCCCAGAGUCUCUCAUUCAGGGCUACCUGUUUACAGCUCACCGAACAGAAGGACCUAAACAAUCCUAUAUUGUACGCCUGGUGCUUCCUUAAACUUAGGCCUCCACAAUGACAUGUUUUCAGAAGCUGGGCAGAAUAAGUUAAAGGCUGGCUUUAUACUCAUUAAGUGUUCUACUUGUACUGUCUUCUAAUUACAUGGCAGGGCAACAAUGUAUUUUUUUUUCAAUAGAGUUCUUUGGAGCAGUUAAUUUGGUGCCUGUACUAAAUGCCCCAAAACAUUAAUUAGUGUGGAAGGAACCCUAAUUUCCUCCGUGGCUUUCCUCUCCAUUUACUUCCCUUGUUUUCACAUAGGCUUGGAUGAGCCUCUAUAAUGAAAUUACCUCAUUAAUGCCUUUAUUCUUGCAGAGUAACUCAUUCAAGAUCUACCAUUUAGUUUUAAUUUAAUGCUGUCAAAAGCAAAAGGUGCAUUCAUGUCUUUGAUUAGUGCUUUUUUUUUUUUCCUCUCUAAAGAGUGGACAGAUUUAAAUUAUUAAGAUGGCAAGUAGUGAGUUAUAAUUGGAUACAAGCAGCACUUCAGUGAAUAUUAAAUGCUUUCAAAGCCUGGCCUAUGUGGUCUGCUGACUAUUAACUGUGUCCAAUGAGUUAUUCUGUGGGUUUUGAAUUAACGGCACCUUAGCUACUGUGAAGCAAAUUAAGUUUAAUUUUGUUUAUAAAAAACAGUGAAGUUGCAUUUAUCAACAUGACAUGUAGUUGUAGCAGAGUUUGUUUUUUCCCAUUAUCCUAUACUGACCUCAUCACUUGGUUCCUCCUGCUAACGCAGGGUCUCAUCCUAUACGUCACAGUCACCCAAAGCCUAGCUAGAGACCUGUUUAUGUAUGGGCAGCAGGACAGAACCUUCCGUUUGCAAGACCUCCUCAGUUCUUAAUAUUGUCAAGAAGAAAUCACCCCAGCCACACAUGACCACACUUUUUCUUUCCUCCACACUUGUGUAGUACUUUCCAGGCACCUGUCUCAUAGCAUUUUUCAGAGAUGGGGACAAUUUCACCUAAACCAGAACUGAAUAAUAUUAAAAAAGAAAAAAAAAAAAAUGAUAUUGAACACUUCUGUUCUGUGGCAGUGUGGAAGAAGAACGAAUGUAUUUUCACAGCAAUGAUUUUCUGUACUGACAUUUGAGGCUGUGGGUUUGUACGGAAACUCUCCGUGAAGGUGGUGGCCAGGCAGGGGCUGUCCUGGAUCUGCAUGGGCACCUGCACCCCACGUUGUUGUAUAGAAGCUUGCCUUCCCCGCGCCUUUCCAUCUUGUGCCAAAGGGGUCAUUUCUACAGGCAAAAGUGUGAUAACGCUAUUAGAAAACUCUGCUGUUCUGGGUUAUGAGAAGCUGGAUCCCAGGGUACUGAGGACUACCAUCAACUUCAGUAGAUUUCAAAUUAAGCCUUUUGGCAUUCACUUUUUAUUAAUCACUUAAGGUUUAUAUACAGAUAAACAGAUGUUUCUGUAACAAUGAGGAUUACUGGUCUGUUUUGCCUCAGGGAGAAAUGUAGCAGAAUCCUUAAGCAAACAGAAGUCUUCCAGUUUUUGGUCUUCAGGAAUACUGAUGUUUCCACAAUACCGGGCUUGCCCUUUGAAGCCAUAGGAGGAAGCAUGCAAGAGAAGCAUCUUUAGGAGUGCAUAUGUUCAGUUACCACCUUGUGUGGAGUGAAGAUGUGGCCGAGAAGGCUGUUGAGUUGGCUGAGAAAAGAGAAGGGGACUGACAGGUGUGACCCUUGCAGUGCCAUGCAAAAGAUCCCUUCUGCUAUCUCCCACCCUUUGCAGCACUUUGGGACCGGCUUGUUUGGCCUUUUGGUUCAGAAGUUGUGUUGGCUACGUCUGUGCUCCAGACGAAACAGCACUAGGAACUGCUUUCUGACACAAGGCCAUUUAGCACAGGGUGGAUAAUAAGUGUUUCUCUAAGCCAUGUGAAGGCUUCAGUCCAAGGAUUUUUCUCAGUGUAACGUACGCUGCCAAAUUUAGGCUUCUCCUACCAUCCAACAGCAUUCUCCCCCAGGUCCAUGUUAGUCUACUGACUGAAGUACGUGCUCAAGAAGCAAGAUAACCAGUCCAAUUAUCUCCUCAUCUGAAGGAAGUACACACAUUUCAAAUUAUCACACCAUGUGUUUUUAGGAAAAAGGGUAAGGAACGGUUCCUGCCAUCCACUUCUUUCCUUUUGAAGCAGGACAUUACGCAGAAAAAAAGAGCCACAGAAGGCAGACAGGACCCUUGUGCUGGGAGCUGGAGUUGCAUUUGGUCUCUGCUGUCUUUGUAUUUCAUCCUUGUAUGGAAAAUAAUAAUAAUAAUAAAGUACUAGUAACAGAGACCAGGAGCCAGGAGUCUUCUCUACAGGGCAGGUGUCCUUGCUGCAGGAUACCGUGAUUGUAGGAGUCACCUAAAGAGCUCAGCUUCUGCUCCACCUGGUCCAGGGACUAUUAGACAUGGAGAGCAGCUAAGGAGCCCUUUAACCGAAUGAGCUAGUCGUAUGUGGUGAACCCAGUAAAUCUGCAUGGCUGCAUAGUGGCUCAGUGAAAAACUGGGCUUAGUCUGAGUGCUGAUCCCAAGCCACAGCCUGAAGACACUACAGGACUCACAGAUGGAAUCUGACAUGUGCCUAUGCUCAGGCAGAAGGCUUAAGUGGAUGUAUGAGCAGCAAGAAUCACAACCAAAAAACACUAUGAGGAUCGACUGAAGUGGCAGUUGACAUACAUUUUCAUUCCUCAGCAAGUAUGGAACAAAAAGCAACAACAGAAUCUGGGUAUACAGGGCAAGCACAAGGAGAUUGGUGAGGGAAAGGUGUACAUAGAGUAAAAGGCCAGCAGAGCUCUGAGGCAAUGGGCCAGGCACAGAGGUCUCCAGGGAAGCUUGUGCUACACAAAGAGCUGGGCUGGGCUGGCUCUGAUCUUGCUGGUCCACAGCAGGCACCUUGAGGCUGUGCUUCGUGGCACAGACAUGCUGUGUUAGGCGGCAGCCAUGUACUCCCUGACAGCUGCUGUGUGCUGUUAAAGACCUUAACACCUUUGUGCUGUUAAACUGCUUGUGAGGCCACAUAAUGAGUUAAGUGAAGGAACUGAGGUUAAAAAUAGCUGCUUCCCCCUUCUUUGACAGGUUAAUUUCAAGUUCCCUGAUGCAAUUCAUUGCACUGUGCCACCUGUCCAUGUACUAGCACUGUUGGGCAGGAGGAGACAGAGAAGGAUGAGAUCGCAUGACCACUGAAUCAUACAACGGUUUGGGUUGGAAGGGACUUUAAAGAUCUAAUUCCAACCCCUCUGCCAUGGGCAGGGACACCUCCCGCUAAAUCAGGUUGCUCAAAGCCCCAUCCAGCCUGGCCUUGAACACUUCCAGGGUUGGGACAUCCACAGCUUCUCUGGGCAACCUGUUCCAGUGCCUCAAUUUCCUCCUUAUAUCUAAUCUAAGCCUACCCUCUUUUAGUUUAAGUCCAUUGAGUGGCUAAGACAAAAGGAUCUUUGCCACUGAUGGAAACGCUAGCCUCUCCUUGAGUAGGAGAGAGCGCAGAGCAACUUUAAGUAAGCACAUGCACCUGAAGAGCAUGUCUUUACCAUCCAUUUAUGAAGGAUUCUUAACAUAGGCAGUCAGUUUCAAACUGGAGAAUUAACUACACAGUGACGAAUGAUUGCUGGUCAGAGCUCUUACACUCCAGGCAGCGAGAGUGUUAAACCAACAUGGCCCCUGCAGAUGAGACUGCAGUGUGUGAGUGCCCCCUUUUGUUCUAAUGAGACUUCGAGAGCUGUAAGGGAAUCACAAGAAAGGUGUCACAGCACUGAAAGGUGACUUUUACAGCUAGCUGGAAAAGUGGCCUAGAACAGGAGGCUGACAAAGCCCUGGUACUGGAAGAACAGUACAAGGAAAAUCAAGAGACAUAUGCAACCACAGGGCAGAAAUGUGAGCAAGCAGAACCUCUUUCUGCAUUAUGCUGGA